rnacentral:other from 1 species
CUAUUUCUGCUGUGUGCGUGGGUUCGAUUCGUUUUGAACCAACACAUUUACAUGAGGGCGCCGGAUCUGUCGUGGCGUACACGCCUGCCUUGACGGGACGUAUUAAGCGGCGUAUGGUGCCCACCCUGCGAGAGCGGGUUUCAAAAACGGAAAGAACUCACGGCAUGGUGGAUAAUUU